GAGGAAGAGGUGUUACUGAUAAAAGGAAUAGAGCUAGAUAGAGAGAAUUUCGUGAAGUUUGAUGUGUACAUCAACGACGAAGAUUAUUCAGUGAGUAGGCCUAAGAAUAGUGAGUUUGCAGGAAGCUUUGUGAACGUACCACACAAGCAUAUGAAAGAAAUGAAGACGAAGACCAAUCUGAGGUUCGCGAUAAAUGAGCUGUUAGAGGACUUGGGAGCCGAAGAUGAUGAGAGUGUGAUCGUGACUAUAGUCCCUCGUGCUGGGGGCGAUGAUGUCACCAUUGGUGGAAUUGAGAUCGAGUUUGUUUCCGAUUGAUCCCAUCUUUCAAUGAUUAUCCAUUAUAUGUAUGUAUCAGGUAAGUCACAUCUUUAUGUGACUAAUGGAAAAUGUGAGACUUCUCUGUACUCUCCCGUCAAGUCUUUUAUUAAUUUAGAGCUGUUUGGUUUAAAUUUAAGGGGUUUUUAAUUGGUGUUAGUUUCCUGUGCCUUUUAUUUACUUUAGAUUGAAGUGGAAAUUGAAGUUAAAUUUACUAC
rnacentral:lncRNA from 1 species